UGUAUAGUUAAUAGCAUUACACUGUGACGUUAGCUACAGAAGAAGCACCGGCAAACUCCGUGCCAGCAGCCGCGGUAAUACGGAGGGUGCGAGCGUUAAUCGGAAUUACUGGGCGUAAAGCGCGCGUAGGCGGUUAUUUAAGUGAGGUGUGAAAUCCCUGGGCUCAACCUAGGAACUGCAUUUCAAACUGGAUAACUUGAGUAUGUCAGAGGGUAUUGGAAUUUCCCCGUGUAGCAGUGAAAAUGCGUAGAUAUGGGAAGGAACAUCAGUGGCGAAGGCGAAUACCUGGGAUAAUACUGACGCUGAGGUGCGAAAGCGUGGGGAGCAAACGGGGAUUAGAUACCCCUGGUAG
rnacentral:rRNA from 1 species